CUGACGACAUUUGAGGCUUCAGAUUCGUCCCACACACCUGACAGCAUCGUUCACCUGUGGACAAAACAACAGACAUGGUCACGCCAUCUACAGAGAAAUCAAAUGCACCAGUCUGCAGGUUAAGACGAUGUGUAUUACUACUGGCUUGUUUUCUUUGGACAUCAUAUUGCUUGGAGGAAAGAAGGGUGGGCCGCCACGUGCCCCCUCACUCUGAUGGAACCAGUGAAUCACAGCAUGGAAAUGGAGAAGCGCCAAAUUGCAAUCUCCUCCUCAUCGGAAAGGGAUAAAGGUACCCUUCCAAAAGACACUUCUUGUUCUGAGUCUGCGGCCUGUUGAGGAAACACACAUUCUGAGUCUGCCGCCCGUUAAGGAAAGGACUGUAACAGAACAACAACGUUCUGAGUCUCGGUUCUGUAAGGGAUGAGACAGAAACAGAUCACCUUCGUUCUGAGUCUCCCAUCUGGUGAGACGAUAGCAGAUCAACCUCAGUUCUGAGUCUGAGUUCCGAAAGAGAAAAGACUGCAACAGAUCACCUUCCUUCUGAGUCUGAGUCCCAUAAAGGAAGGACACUAACAGAACAACCUUCGUUCUGAGUCUCCAGCCUGCAAAGGUGAGACAACAACAGAUACCAAGUCCAAGUCUCCAGCUUUUGAGGCAGCAACAGAUACGACCACGUUCUGAGCCUCUAGCCUGCGAGGAAAGAGACAAUCUAUGUUCAGAGUCUUCGUCCAGCAAGACAACAACUGAUGUAGCAUCCUGAGUCUCCAUCCUAGAGAGACAAAGCAGAUUGACCAAGUUCUGAGUCUCUAGCCCAGAGAGGCAGAAGACACACAAACAUUUGCAACAAGGUUAAGCUCCGGCGAGCAAACCUUCACUUCAGGUACUUUUGCUUGCGUGUUCCAAGCUAAGAACCUUCAGCACCUACUCCAGGGAACCAUCUGCGUGUUCCAGAUCUUAGGACCCUUGGUGCUCCAGGAGAUCGGCAUCCUACAGCGCUUCAUCUUCAAGGCUGUCGAAACGGAUUCCUGCUCCAGCACAACCAGUGGAAGAAGUCGCCGCCACCGGACUGCUCACUCAACCACAGUGAACGCUCUAUGGGCAACGAAUGGUGGGAUCCACAUAAAACAAUUCCAGCCCCCCAGACCGAAACCAGUUCCUCGAAAUAACAAUUCAUCUACAAUAUCCGCAUCUGACAUGGGAAUCAGUGAUGAGGAGUGGGAAAGACUACAGAAGGUUAUUGAGUGGCCUGGUCCAGAUCAAGAAAUCACUCAUCUGAAUCAGAGCACAAGUCCAGUCCACUCGUCUUUCGCUAUUGUGGGACUCAAAGAGAGUUACAAAGUGGGAGAAAAGAUCUCUGUUACUAUCACAGCCAGGGACUACAACAAGAACCUGAAACGAUAUGGAGGAGAUUUUUUCAAAGCAAAACUUUUCAAUUCAAAGCUAAAGGCGAGUGUGUACGGGGAGGUUGUGGAUCAUCGUAAUGGGACUUACUCUGUUGAUUUCCUUCUGCCCUGGGAAGGUCAGGCACAAGUUUUUGUACGUCUUGAGCACUCCAGUGAGGUUGUGCAGAUUCUUAAAAAAUACAGGGACUCUUCAUUCCCACGCACCCACUAUCAAGGCUACUUUGAAUCAGGACCCAGUAAAACCAGGAUCCGUGAAGUAGUAGAAUGUAAUCUUAAGUGGGGUGCAGAUGGAAGUUGGAGGAAAGGCAACUGCUGCUGUGAGUAUAAGGAUAUAAGAACAGGGACG